AUGAACGCUAGCUACAGGCUUAACACAUGCAAGUCGAGGGGCAUCAGGAAGAAAGCUUGCUUUCUUUGCUGGCGACCGGCGCACGGGUGAGUAACACGUAUCCAACCUGCCCUUUACUCGGGGAUAGCCUUUCGAAAGAAAGAUUAAUACCCGAUGGCAUAAUGAUUCCGCAUGGUUUCAUUAUUAAAGGAUUCCGGUAAAGGAUGGGGAUGCGUUCCAUUAGGUUGUUGGUGAGGUAACGGCUCACCAAGCCUUCGAUGGAUAGGGGUUCUGAGAGGAAGGUCCCCCACAUUGGAACUGAGACACGGUCCAAACUCCUACGGGAGGCAGCAGUGAGGAAUAUUGGUCAAUGGGCGCUAGCCUGAACCAGCCAAGUAGCGUGAAGGAUGAAGGCUCUAUGGGUCGUAAACUUCUUUUAUAUAAGAAUAAAGUGCAGUAUGUAUACUGUUUUGUAUGUAUUAUAUGAAUAAGGAUCGGCUAACUCCGUGCCAGCAGCCGCGGUAAUACGGAGGAUGCGAGCGUUAUCCGGAUUUAUUGGGUUUAAAGGGAGCGUAGGUGGACUGGUAAGUCAGUUGUGAAAGUUUGCGGCUCAACCGUAAAAUUGCAGUUGAUACUGUCAGUCUUGAGUACAGUAGAGGUGGGCGGAAUUCGUGGUGUAGCGGUGAAAUGCUUAGAUAUCACGAAGAACUCCGAUUGCGAAGGCAGCUCACUGGACUGCAACUGACACUGAUGCUCGAAAGUGUGGGUAUCAAACAGGAUUAGAUACCCUGGUAGUCCACACAGUAAACGAUGAAUACUCGCUGUUUGCGAUAUACAGUAAGCGGCCAAGCGAAAGCAUUAAGUAUUCCACCUGGGGAGUACGCCGGCAACGGUGAAACUCAAAGGAAUUGACGGGGGCCCGCACAAGCGGAGGAACAUGUGGUUUAAUUCGAUGAUACGCGAGGAACCUUACCCGGGCUUAAAUUGCAGUGGAAUGAUGUGGAAACAUGUCAGUGAGCAAUCACCGCUGUGAAGGUGCUGCAUGGUUGUCGUCAGCUCGUGCCGUGAGGUGUCGGCUUAAGUGCCAUAACGAGCGCAACCCUUAUCUUUAGUUACUAACAGGUCAUGCUGAGGACUCUGGAGAGACUGCCGUCGUAAGAUGUGAGGAAGGUGGGGAUGACGUCAAAUCAGCACGGCCCUUACGUCCGGGGCUACACACGUGUUACAAUGGGGGGUACAGAAGGCAGCUAGCGGGUGACCGUAUGCUAAUCCCAAAAGCCUCUCUCAGUUCGGAUCGAAGUCUGCAACCCGACUUCGUGAAGCUGGAUUCGCUAGUAAUCGCGCAUCAGCCACGGCGCGGUGAAUACGUUCCCGGGCCUUGUACACACCGCCCGUCAAGCCAUGGGAGCCGGGGGUACCUGAAGUACGUAACCGCAAGGAGCGUCCUAGGGUAAAACUGGUGACUGGGGCU
rnacentral:rRNA from 1 species